rnacentral:rRNA from 1 species
AGAGUUUGAUCCUGGCUCAGGAUGAACGCUGGCGGCGUGCUUAACACAUGCAAGUCGAACGAUGACUUUUGUGCUUGCACAAAAUGAUUAGUGGCGAACGGGUGAGUAACACGUGAGUAACCUGCCCUUAACUUCGGGAUAAGCCUGGGAAACCGGGUCUAAUACCGGAUACGACGGAUUCCCGCAUGGGGGUCCGUGGAAAGCUUGAUGCGGUUUUGGAUGGACUCGCGGCCUAUCAGCUAGUUGGUUGGGGUAAUGGCCCACCAAGGCGACGACGGGUAGCCGGCCUGAGAGGGUGACCGGCCACACUGGGACUGAGACACGGCCCAGACUCCUACGGGAGGCAGCAGUGGGGAAUAUUGCACAAUGGGCGAAAGCCUGAUGCAGCGACGCCGCGUGAGGGACGAAGGCCUUCGGGUUGUAAACCUCUUUCAGCAGGGAAGAAGCGAAAGUGACGGUACCUGCAGAAGAAGCGCCGGCUAACUACGUGCCAGCAGCCGCGGUAAUACGUAGGGCGCAAGCGUUAUCCGGAAUUAUUGGGCGUAAAGAGCUCGUAGGCGGUUUGUCGCGUCUGCUGUGAAAGCCCGGGGCUCAACCCCGGGUCUGCAGUGGGUACGGGCAGACUAGAGUGCAGUAGGGGAGACUGGAAUUCCUAGUGUAGCGGUGAAAUGCGUAGAUAUUAGGAGGAACACCAGUGGCGAAGGCGACUUUCUGGACUGCAACUGACGUUGAGGCACGAAAGUGUGGGGAGCAAACAGGAUUAGAUACCCUGGUAGUCCACACUGUAAACGAUGGAUUCUAGGUGUAGGAGGUAUUAAGCCUUCUGUGCCGUCGCAAACGCAGUAAGUAUCCCACCUGGGGAGUACGACCGCAAGGUUGAAACUCAAAGGAAUUGACGGGGGCCCGCACAAGCAGUGGAGUAUGUGGUUUAAUUCGAAGCAACGCGAAGAACCUUACCAGGGCUUGACAUAUACAGGAAUAAUUAAGAGAUUAAUUAGCUCUUCGGAGUCUGUAUACAGGUGGUGCAUGGUUGUCGUCAGCUCGUGUCGUGAGAUGUUGGGUUAAGUCCCGCAACGAGCGCAACCCCUGUUUCUAGUUGCCAGCAUGUAAAGAUGGGAACUCUAGAGAGACUGCCGUUGAUAAAACGGAGGAAGGUGGGGACGACGUCAAAUCAUCAUGCCCUUUAUGUCCUGGGCUACACACGUACUACAAUGGCUAUAACAAAGGGAAGCGAAAGAGCGAUCUGAAGCGAAACUCAAAAAAGUAGUCACAGUUCGGAUUGUAGGCUGAAAUUCGCCUACAUGAAGCUGGAAUUGCUAGUAAUGGCAGGUCAGCAUACUGCCGUGAAUACGUUCCCGGGCCUUGUACACACCGCCCGUCAAG